rnacentral:tRNA from 1 species
CCAGAAAUAGCUUAGUUGGGAGCUCGUUAGACUGAAGAUCUAAAGGUCCCUGGUUCAAUCCCGGGUUUCGGCA